CUUUAAAUUGUUACCUAUUUUGGGCACUUUUGACUUGGUUGAAAGAUGAUUGCCCAUUGCUCGCGCGUAGGAAUCCUGGUAUGCCUCAAGGGUAUUUUUGUCCUCUUAUGUCCAAAAAACCACGUGGCACCUAGUGAAUAUUUUUGGCUCCACAAACACCCCCACACCUAUUGGGCUGCUCGUAGAAAAGGGCAACAGGUGUAGAGAUGUUCUUGCUUUAGGAAACUUAGGACUGCUUCCUAUUUUGAUGUAGAUUCU
rnacentral:lncRNA from 1 species